CAGGGCAAGACUCUAACCCUGGAACUCAAAGCACGUGCUCGGGGUGGGAGGUCCCACUGGGACCUGGCAGGGGGAAGCCGGAGCUAUACUGUCUGAGUGGCAUAGAGAAAAGCAAAUAAAGUCA
rnacentral:misc_RNA from 1 species